AGGGUUCUUGGGGUUUUGGGGAAAGCAUUUCUUCGUUGAGUUGUGGCCGGCAUCGAUCUCAUUGCCGGCCACAAAUUCUAGAAUGCGAGAAUGGUUCCAUGGCCUUGUGAUCACUGCCGAUUCGAUUGCGCCAAUCUCCAGUGCCCCACGAGGCCGAUAAUCGAUUCACAGCUUCAAAGGAUUCUAAUCGGCGAAAUUUCUCUCUUGACACGAGCGCUGCGCUGGUAUGUGUACUUGCUUUGUUCUUGGAAAUUUCUGCCGAGAGGAACUUGGGCCAGGCUAAGUUGGGGUCUCGUCUCUGUGGCGUGUGCCUUUAUUUGCUUUGGAAUUCUCCUCUUUCUUUUUGUAGUUUUUACGCAUACUAGUCAGGCUGUUGCCAAGGAAAAAAAGUCUUCUACGAUGGUUCUCAGCCGUUACACGUAUGGAAGAUUGAUCUGAGGAUUUAAUCGUAGCUCCUUGUGACUUGUUACGUUCAUCGAGCUCCAUUCGAAUCCAACAGCAGCGAGUGAUGCUUUUCGAUCGGCCUGUGAUGACAUCUUAAUACUUGCUACUCUUGAUUGCUUAGAUGAUGACGCUUUGUCCACCAAGAUCUCUGAGGCCUUGUUUUGUGAUUCUUGGUCCAAUUUUGUCCAGGUUUUUUUCGCAGCUCGAAGUGCAGAUGAUGAUUCAAUCGUCUAGAUAGGGACAGCUGAAAAUCUCUUUCGUGCUGAUCACUUAAAAAUGGGAAUCUCUCUGAUGCACUGCUGCUAUUGUUGCCCAUGUUGCCCAAUUAGCAAAUACCGUUUUAAUUGUCAAUAGCUUUACUGCAUAUUUAAAAGGUUAAAAAUGGAUAUAGUAUUUUAAA